GCAGCGUUGGGCCGAGCGCUUCCCUGGGCCCCAAAAAACGGGCAGGGGUCCCAAAAAACGGCCAGGGGUCCCAAAAAAUGGGGGGAUCCCAAAAAACAGGGCGCCACCCCAAAGCCCCUCAGGAACCACCCCAAAAACCGCCCCAGACCACCUCAAACCCCUCAGAAAAAUCCCAGAAACACCCUCGGAAAACACCCCCAAAAAAACUCCAAAAAAUCCCAAAACACCCCAAACCUCUCAGGGUCCACCCCAAAACCCCCCCUAGGCCACACCAAACCCCUCAGGGGCCACCCUGAGCCCCCCAAGACCACCCCAAGACCCCUUGGGGGCCACCCCAAACCCCUCAGGAACACCCCAGAAACACCCUCAGAAAACCCCCCAAAAAAAUCCCAAAAACUCCCAAGAAAUUCACCAAAAAAGCCCCAAAAAUCCCAAAAAACCCCAAAUCCCCCAGGACCACCCCAAAACCCCCCAGGAUCAUCCCAAAAGCCCCAGGAUCACCCCAGACCCCUCAGGAACACCCCAGAAACACCCUCAGAAAAUAUCCCAAAAAAUCUCCACAAAACCCAAAAAAAACCCCAAAAAGCCCCAAAACACCCCAAAACCCCCCUGGACCACCCCAAACCCCUCAGGGGCCACCCCAAAACACCCAGGACCACCCCAAAACCCCCCCUAGGCCACCCCAAACCCCGCUGGACCACCCCAAACCCCUCAGAAACACCCCAGAAACACCCUCAGAAAACCCCCCAAAAAAAUCCCAAAAACCCCCAAGAAAUUCACCAAAAAAUCCCCAAAAAUCCCAAAAAACUCCAAACCCCACUGGACCAUCCCAAAACCCCCAGGAUCACCCCAAACCCUGCAGGACCACCCCAAACCCCUCAGAAACACCCUCAGAAAACCCCCCAAAAAACCCCCAAAACCCCCAAAAAAUCCCCAAAAAUCCCCAAAACCCCCAAAAAACCCCAAAAAAAUCCCCAAAAACCCCCAAAACCCCCAAAAAUCCCCCAAAACCCCCAAAAAUCCCCAAAACGCCCCGUGGGCCUUACGCAGGUAGCACGGCCGGACGUCCUGCUCGCCGUCCGGCGCCGCGCCGUCCUCCUCCGCGGCGCCCUGCGGCGGGACACGGGACCGUGUCGGGACGUGGGGUUAUCGUGA
rnacentral:lncRNA from 1 species